rnacentral:rRNA from 1 species
AACGAACGCUGGCGGCAGGCUUAACACAUGCAAGUCGAACGCACCUUUCGGGGUGAGUGGCAGACGGGUGAGUAACACGUGGGAACGUACCCUUCAGUUCGGAAUAACCCUGGGAAACUAGGGCUAAUACCGGAUACGGCCGAGAGGCGAAAGGUUUACUGCUGAGGGAUCGGCCCGCGUCCGAUUAGCUAGUUGGUGUUGGUAACGGCUCACCAAGGCGACGAUCGGUAGCUGGUCUGAGAGGAUGGCCAGCCACAUUGGGACUGAGACACGGCCCAAACUCCUACGGGAGGCAGCAGUGGGGAAUAUUGGACAAUGGGCGCAAGCCUGAUCCAGCCAUGCCGCGUGAGUGAUGAAGGCCCUAGGGUUGUAAAGCCCUUUCAGCGGGGAAGAUAAUGACGGUACCCGCAGAAGAAGCCCCGGCUAACUUCGUGCCAGCAGCCGCAGUAACAC